rnacentral:rRNA from 1 species
GACGAACGCUGGCGGCGUGCUUAACACAUGCAAGUCGAGCGGCAAGGCCCUUUCGGGGGUACACGAGCGGCGAACGGGUGAGUAACACGUGGGUGACCUGCCUUUAGCUCUGGGAUAAGCCUGGGAAACCGGGUCUAAUACCGGAUAUGACUCCGCGGCGCAUGUUGUGGGGUGGAAAGCCUUGUGCGGCUGGAGAUGGGCCCGCGGCCUAUCAGCUUGUUGGUGGGGUGAUGGCCUACCAAGGCGACGACGGGUAGCCGGCCUGAGAGGGCGACCGGCCACACUGGGACUGAGACACGGCCCAGACUCCUACGGGAGGCAGCAGUGGGGAAUCUUGCGCAAUGGGCGAAAGCCUGACGCAGCGACGCCGCGUGAGGGAUGACGGCCU